rnacentral:rRNA from 1 species
UACGGAGGAUGCAAGCGUUAUCCGGAAUGAUUGGGCGUAAAGCGUCCGCAGGUGGCUAUGUAAGUCUGCUGUUAAAGAGUCUAGCUCAACUAGAUAAGAGCAGUGGAAACUACAAGGCUAGAGUACGUUCGGGGCAGAGGGAAUUCCUGGUGUAGCGGUGAAAUGCGUAGAGAUCAGGAAGAACACCAGUGGCGAAGGCGCUCUGCUAGGCCGUAACUGACACUGAGGCGCGAAAGCCAGGGGAGCAAACGGG